rnacentral:rRNA from 1 species
AAAGGAAUUGACGGGGACCCGCACAAGCGGUGGAUGAUGUGGAUUAAUUCGAUGCAACGCGAAAAACCUUACCUACCCUUGACAUGGCAGGAAUCCUUGAGAGAUCAGGGAGUGCUCGAAAGAGAACCUGCACACAGGUGCUGCAUGGCUGUCGUCAGCUCGUGUCGUGAGAUGUUGGGUUAAGUCCCGCAACGAGCGCAACCCUUGUCAUUAGUUGCUACGAAAGGGCACUCUAAUGAGACUGCCGGUGACAAACCGGAGGAAGGUGGGGAUGACGUCAAGUCCUCAUGGCCCUUAUGGGUAGGGCUUCACACGUCAUACAAUGGUACAUACAGAGGGCCGCCAACCCGCGAGGGGGAGCUAAUCCCAGAAAGUGUAUCGUAGUCCGGAUUGGAGUCUGCAACUCGACUCCAUGAAGUUGGAAUCGCUAGUAAUCGCGGAUCAGCAUGUCGCGGUGAAUACGUUCCCGGGUCUUGUACNCACCGCCC